CGCAUCUGUGCAUGCAGCAUAUCAAUAAGCGGAGGAAAAGAAACUAACAAGGAUUCCCUUAGUAACGGCGAGUGAAGCGGGAAGAGCUCAAAUUUGAAAUCUUCAAGGUUUUACCUUGACGAAUUGUAGUUUAAAGAAGUGUUUUCUGUUGAAGUUUUGGUAAAAGUUCUUUGGAAUAGGACAUCAUAGAGGGUGAGAAUCCCGUAUUUGACCAUUAUUUUCAGCUGUGUGAUACACUUUCAAAGAGUCGGAUUGUUUGGGAAUGCAGUCCAAAAUGGGUGGUAAAUUUCAUCUAAAGCUAAAUAUUGGCGAGAGACCGAUAGCGAACAAGUACCGUGAGGGAAAGAUGAAAAGAACUUUGAAAAGAGAGUUAAACAGUACGUGAAAUUGUCAAAAGGGAAGCGUUUGACACCAGUGUUGUUUUCUCGAAAAUCAAUUAAAAAGAGUUUGAUUUUGUUGUGUAUUGACCUUAACAGCUUGCAUUUCAAUUUUCUUGCUUUUUUUAAUGCACUUUUCGUUUAACAAGUCAACAUCAGUUUCUUUUGUUGUAAAAAGGUCAUUGGAAGGUGGCUUUCUUUUCGGAGAAAGUGUUUAUAGCCUUUGUACUCCUGCAAUCGGAGAGACUGAGGUCUGCAGCGUAGAUCCUUCGGGGUUAGAUACAUUUGUGCUAAGUUAUAGCUUUUUAUAGACAACUUGUUGACUAUGAUUAGUCUUGUAGCUUACUCGCUUAUGCUAUUUUACCUACGCUUAGGAUGUUGACGACACGCGCGUGCUCG
rnacentral:rRNA from 1 species